rnacentral:rRNA from 1 species
GACGGAGGGGGCUAGCGUUGUUCGGAAUUACUGGGCGUAAAGGGCGCGUAGGCGGAUUAGUAAGUUGGGAGUGAAAGCCCGGGGCUUAACCUCGGAACUGCUUUCAAAACUGCUAGUCUAGAGUGAAGUAGGGGGUGAUGGAAUUCCUAGUGUAGAGGUGAAAUUCUUAGAUAUUAGGAGGAACACCGGUGGCGAAGGCGGUCACCUGGGCUUCAACUGACGCUGAGGCGCGAAAGCGUGGGGAGCAAACAGG